GGUAUGGGCCGGGCCCCUCUGGCGACCGAGACAGGUCGUGAUGUCGGACCGAAAUC
rfam:Pontibaca methylaminivorans strain DSM 21219 genome assembly, contig: Ga0104525_11